AUUUUGGGAGAAAUGAUCUGUUUCAGCUGGACUGAAAUUUCUUCUAUCUUGAUUCUUCUGAACGAUUUUCUUCGGUGCAAUCCAUACCAUUUUCAAGGUUUUGAUGGCUGGUCAGCUUGUGGAAAUCUACAUCUUGUUGGAAUCAAUGACUUUCCAUGAAAUGCAGUUUUUCACCUUGCCCGGAAUAUAAGGCUGCAGAUCUUCAAGCUUAAAAAAUCAAUUCUCGCUGUUCUUGAGAUAGAGGACAGAAUGUCAUGUUGUUGGGAUGAUAAUCUCAGGAAAUGCCUUUUCCUCCUUCUCCACCUCUGAAACAUGGUUUUAACACUUCUACCUGUUGUGUAAGAAAGCUCUUCUCAGACUGCCUCCUCCUCAAUGUCACAGCAGUUUUCUGUCUAACUAGAAGUACCUAUUGGUGUCCCAACUUGGCUUUAUUUGGUACCUCACCUUUUCAAGAGCUGAGAAAGAAAAGGAGAGAGACAAAGGCUAUCCACACAGUUAAAAAUAAAAUGGGAAAUAAUGUAGAGGACAAAAUUCAGGCUAACAGCAGAGUACUGUCAGCCUUACUAUAUUAUAUGUAGUAAGGGGUUUUCUCUCAGCUAACAUUGUGUGUUCUGUGAAAUACACAGACAGAAGGCUUACUUUGAAAUAUGAGUACCUUUAUCUUAGAGAAAGUUUCAUAAUACUUUUGAAAGCUUUUCAUGGUUAUAACAGAAUUGAGAAUGUAUUUAAAAUAACCAAUUGCAAGCUAUUUAGAAAUUCAAAUUAAAGUAGAGCUUCAGCAAAUGGAAUGCUACAAUGCUAACAAGAUUAGAAAGCAUGAGCCAAUUUUCAUAUGCAAAAAUGUAGAAAAUAAUUUCUAAGUCAUGAAAUACUUGAAGGCUGUAUUAUAGAAAAAUGAGGAAUGGUGUGUUUGUUUGUGAAAAUAUAUCUAAUCUCUUACAAUCCAGAUUCUGUAGUCUUGCUAGCAUUCUUUUGAACCUGAAUACGAUGAGGUUUAUUUCAUAUUCUUUUUUGGAAAGAUAUGUAUAUACAUAUAACUGCAUAUGUAUACGUAACAUUGUAUAGUGACUCAUUUGCAUCCCAUUUUUGAUAGUACGGUCAACAUCCAUUUGAUUUCUGGUUUUGGUGUUUCACUUUUUGUGACUGAAAUGCCAUACUCAUUAACAAGCCAAUAAUCAGUGCAGAACUUCUGUUUUUCUCUUGAGUUUUCUG